AAUUUAGGGGGCUACCAUGCAGUCGAGGGGUAACAUAGAAAAGCUUGCUUUUCUGAUGACGACCGGCGCACGGGUGCGUAACGCGUAUACAACCUACCUUUUAGCGGGGAAUAGCCCAGGGAAACUUGGAUUAAUGCCCCAUAGUAUAUAGACUUCUCCUGAAGUUUAUAUUAAACAUUUAUGGCUAUUAGAUGGGUAUGCGUCCUAUUAGUUAGUUGGUAAGGUAACGGCUUACCAAGGCAGCGAUAGGUAGGGGUCCUGAGAGGGAGAUCCCCCCACACUGGUACUGAGACACGGACCAGACUCCUACGGGAGGCAGCAGUGAGGAAUAUUGGACAAUGGGCGAGAGCCUGAUCCAGCCAUGCCGCGUGCAGGAAGACUGCCCUAUGGGUUGUAAACUGCUUUUACAGAGGAAGAACCACCCCCACGUGUGGGGGUUUGACGGUACUCUGCGAAUAAGGAUCGGCUAACUCCGUGCCAGCAGCCGCGGUAAUACGGAGGAUCCAAGCGUUAUCCGGAAUCAUUGGGUUUAAAGGGUCCGUAGGCGGGCAGUUAAGUCAGUGGUGAAAGUCUUCCGCUCAACGGGAGAACUGCCAUUGAUACUGAUUGUCUUGAGUUAUUAUGAAGUGGUUAGAAUGAGUAGUGUAGCGGUGAAAUGCAUAGAUAUUACUCAGAAUACCGAUUGCGAAGGCAGAUCACUAAUAAUAUACUGACGCUGAUGGACGAAAGCGUAGGUAGCGAACAGGAUUAGAUACCCUGGUAGUCUACGCCGUAAACGAUGGUUACUAGCUGUUCGGCCCAAUUGAGGGCUGAGUGGUUAAGCGAAAGUGAUAAGUAACCCACCUGGGGAGUACGUUCGCAAGAAUGAAACUCAAAGGAAUUGACGGGGGCCCGCACAAGCGGUGGAGCAUGUGGUUUAAUUCGAUGAUACGCGAGGAACCUUACCAGGGCUUAAAUGUAGUCUGACAGGUCUGGAAACAGACUUUUCUUCGGACAGAUUACAAGGUGCUGCAUGGUUGUCGUCAGCUCGUGCCGUGAGGUGUCAGGUUAAGUCCUAUAACGAGCGCAACCCCUGUGGUUAGUUGCCAGCGAGUAAUGUCGGGAACUCUAGCCAGACUGCCGGUGCAAACCGCGAGGGAAGGUGGGGAUGACGUCAAAUCAUCACGGCCCUUACGUCCUGGGCCACACACGUGCUACAAUGGUAGGGACAGAGAGCAGCCACUUCGCGAGAAGGAGCGAAUCUACAAACCCUAUCACAGUUCGGAUCGCAGUCUGCAACUCGACUGCGUGAAGCUGGAAUCGCUAGUAAUCGCAUAUCAGCCAUGAUGCGGUGAAUACGUUCCCGGGCCUUGUACACACCGCCCGUCAAGCCAUGGAAGCCGGGGGUACCUGAAGUCGGUCACCGCAAGGAGCCGCCCUAGGU
rnacentral:rRNA from 1 species